GGAGUCCGUAACGAGCAAGCAGCGGCCUCUCGACGAUCAAUGACUUUCUAUUUUCUCUCUUCGUACACACGGAUGGUGUUUUCUCCGGAAAAAGAAUCUCGCUGAAGGAAGGCCAAAAAAGUUCAUGAGUCGAAAAAACAUUGGCAAAAUCUAAUCUGCCCUAAUUACUUGCAGCUGCAAAAGCUACCAUUGUUAUAACAAAUUAUUGUUUGGAGUCAACGCUACCGUAGUUCCACCAGUCCCCAUCGAAGCUGAUUUUGAAAGUGCAGGCUGUACGUAGGGGUUGAAAAAAAACACGAUGUCUGUUAGCGGACAAUU